rnacentral:RNase_P_RNA from 1 species
UGGGUCGGCUGGACGGUCGCGUCACGGGUUCGCCCGUGCCGAGGAACGUCCGGGCUCCACAGGGCAGGACGGUGGGUAACGCCCACCCGGAGCAAUCCGCGAGACAGUGCCACAGAGAGCAGACCGCCCCGCGUCCCUCGGGCCGCGGGGUAAGGGUGAAAGGGUGGUGUAAGAGACCACCGGGGUCGUGGUGACACGACCCGCGAGGUAAACCUCGUCCGGAGCAAGGCCAGACAGGGGAUGACGACGCGGCUCGCCGAGUCCCCGGGUAGGCCGCUGGAGCGGCACGGCAACGUGUCGCCGAGAGAGAUGACCGUCCACGGGGUUCCUGAGCUUGUCGAAGGAACCCCCGGACAGAACCCGGCGUACAGGCCGGCCCAUUCG